rnacentral:rRNA from 1 species
GAUGAACGCUAGCUACAGGCCUAACACAUGCAAGUCGAGGGGAAACGGCAGCUUAGCUCGCUAAGCUGGACGUCGACCGGCGCACGGGUGAGUAACGCGUAUCCAACCUGCCCCACGGUGAGGGAUAACCCGCGGAAACGCGGCCUAAUACCUCAUGGUCUCCGAGCUUGACAUCAAUCUUGGAGUAAAGAUUCAUUGCCGUGGGAUGGGGAUGCGUCUGAUUAGCUUGUUGGCGGGGUAACGGCCCACCAAGGCGACGAUCAGUAGGGGUUCUGAGAGGAAGGUCCCCCCACAUUGGAACUGAGACACGGUCCAAACUCCUACGGGAGGCAGCAGUGAGGAAUAUUGGUCAAUGGGCGAGAGCCUGAACCAGCCAAGUAGCGUGCAGGAUGACGGCCCUAUGGGUUGUAAACUGCUUUUAUAAGGGAUAAAGUUAAGUCUCGUGAGACUUUUUGCAUGUACCUUAUGAAUAAGGACCGGCUAAUUCCGUG